rnacentral:rRNA from 1 species
CCCUUAGAUGUUCUGGGCCGCACGCGCGCUACACUGAUGCAUUCAACGAGUCUAAAACCUGGUCUGAUAGGGCUGGGUAAUCUUUUGAAAGUGCAUCGUGAUUGGGAUAGAUGAUUGCAAUUCUUCAUCUUCAACGAGGAAUGCCUAGUAAACGCAAGUCAUCAGCUUGCAUUGAUUACGUCCCUGCCCUUUGUACACACCGCCCGUCGCUACUACUGAUUGGAUGUUUAAGCGAGGUUCUCGAACUGCUAGCGACUUAGCUUCGGUGAGGUCGCAGUGUGGGAAGUGAACCUAGCUUUGGUGUCUAGAGGAAGUAAAAGUCGUAACA